rnacentral:rRNA from 1 species
AUGUACGAUGAUGAUCAAGAGGAUGAUGAUAUUUCAUCUCAGCCGCUUAUGCCCUAUGUUGGCAUGGAAUUUGACUCUAUUGAUGAUGCCAAGGUAUUUUACAAUGAAUAUGCAUUCAAGAUAGGCUUUGGCACACGCAUUUGCGCUUCUAAAAAAAGCCAGAAGAGAGGUCCUCCAACACUUAUCAAGAAGGUUUUCCAGUGUGUGCAUGCAGGGAAGCCAGAAAGUAAAGGGGACAGUAGCACUGCUUCUGAAGGGGUCUCAAUGGGAGCAACAUCGUCUAGCAAACAGAAUUGGUUUGAAAUGGAUGUCGGCAGCAAGCGUCAAAAGAAUCGGCUGCUGCGACAUGAUUGCAAAGCUCACCUGAUUGUUGGGAUCAAAGGCAAUAAAUGGGCUGUAUCACAUUUUGUUGCAGAGCAUACACACCCUCUAAUGCCACAGCCGGAGCUUGUCCGCUACUACCGCUCACACCGCAAAAUCCCGGAAGAAGAUAAGGAUCUCAUAAUGACUAUGCAUGAUGUAAACUUCUCAACUUCGUCAUGCAUGGGAAUGCUUGGAAGGGUGCGUGGCGGAGACCGCAAGAUACUACCAUAUGUCAAGAGGGAUGUUUCAAACUUUCGGUCCAAGCUGCGACAAAACCUAAACCUCCGAGACAUGGAUUUCACAAUUCAGUACUUUGAGAGGCGGCAAGCUGAGAACCCUCAAUUCUACUAUGCAAAAACAGUUGACAAGGAGACCAACUCUGUCACAGGGCUCUUUUGGGUGGAUGGGAGGACAAGGGCAUUGUGCCCCAAGUACAAAGAUUGUAUCUUCUUUGAUACAACAUUUCGCUCCGAUUGUUGGAGUGAACAACCACUUGCAAACGGUGUUGCUGGGUUGUGCACUGUUGCCAAAUGA